rnacentral:rRNA from 1 species
GUAGAUGGAUGUUUAAGUCAGUUGUGAAAGUUUGCGGCUCAACCGUAAAAUUGCAGUUGAUACUGGAUAUCUUGAGUGCAGUUGAGGCAGGCGGAAUUCGUGGUGUAGCGGUGAAAUGCUUAGAUAUCACGAAGAACUCCGAUUGCGAAGGCAGCCUGCUAAGCUGCAACUGACAUUGAGGCUCGAAAGUGUGGGUAUCAAACAGGAUUAGAUACCCUGGUAGUCCACACGGUAAACGAUGAAUACUCGCUGUUUGCGAUAUACUGCAAGCGGCCAAGCGAAAGCGUUAAGUAUUCCACCUGGGGAGUACGCCGGCAACGGUGAAACUCAAAGGAAUUGACGGGGGCCCGCACAAGCGGAGGAACAUGUGGUUUAAUUCGAUGAUACGCGAGGAACCUUACCCGGGCUUAAAUUGCAGAUGAAUUACGGUGAAAGCCGUAAGCCGCAAGGCAUCUGUGAAGGUGCUGCAUGGUUGUCGUCAGCUCGUGCCGUGAGGUGUCGGCUUAAGUGCCAUAACGAGCGCAACCCUUGUUGUCAGUUACUAACAGGUUUCGCUGAGGACUCUGACAAGACUGCCAUCGUAAGAUGUGAGGAAGGUGGGGAUGACGUCAAAUCAGCACGGCCCUUACGUCCGGGGCUACACACGUGUUACAAUGGGGGGUACAGAGGGCCGCUACCACGCGAGUGGAUGCCAAUCCCAAAAACCUCUCUCAGUUCGGACUGGAGUCUGCAACCCGACUCCACGAAGCUGGAUUCGCUAGUAAUCGCGCAUCAGCCACGGCGCGGUGAAUACGUUCCCGGGCCUUGUACACACCGCCCGUCAAGCCAUGGGAGCCGGGGGUACCUGAAGUGCGUAACCGCGAGGAGCGCCCUAGGGUAAAACUGGUGACUGGGG